rnacentral:rRNA from 1 species
CUGCUGCCUUCCGUAGGAGUUUGGGCCGUGUCUCAGUCCCAAUGUGGCCGUCCACCCUCUCAGGCCGGCUACUGAUCGUCGCCUUGGUGGGCCGUUACCCCGCCAACAGGCUAAUCAGACGCGGGUCCAUCUUACACCACCGGAGUUUUUCACACAAAUCCAUGCGGCUUCGUGCGCUUAUGCGGUAUUAGCACCUAUUUCUAAGUGUUAUCCCCCAGUGUAAGGCAGGUUACCCACGCGUUACUCACCCGUCCGCCACUAAG